GGCAAUGUGGUAUAAUGGUCAGGAAGCUGGUCUUAUAACUCAGAUAUUGUUGGUUCAACUCCGUAUCGACAUUGCCA